CGGGGUGUUACCCCGUGGCUAGCGCACAUCGUUCAGGACGAAGAGGCCGGUGGUUCGAGUCCACUCACCUCGACCA
rnacentral:tRNA from 1 species